ACGAACGCUGGCGGCGUGCUUAACACAUGCAAGUCGAGCGGUAAGGCCUCUUCGGGGGUACACGAGCUGCGAACGGGUGAGUAACACGUGGGUGACCUGCCCUCAGCUCUGGGAUAAGCCUGGGAAACUGGGUCUAAUACCGGAUAUGACCUUUCCUCGCAUGGGGUUUGGUGGAAAGUUUUUUCGGCUGGGGAUGGGCCCGCGGCCUAUCAGCUUGUUGGUGGGGUGAUGGCCUACCAAGGCGACGACGGGUAGCCGGCCUGAGAUGGCGACCGGCCACACUGGGAGGGAGACACGGCCCAGACUCCUACGGGAGGCAGCAGUGGGGAAUAUUGCGCAAUGGGCGGAAGCCUGACGCAGCGACGCAGCGUGGGGGAUGACGGCAUUCGGGUUGUAAACCUCUUUCGACCCCGACGAAUUUGGACGGUAGGGGUAGAAGAAGCACCGGCCAACUACGUG
rnacentral:rRNA from 1 species